rnacentral:rRNA from 1 species
CUCAAAUUUGAAAUCUGGCAGUCUUCGAUUGUCCGAGUUGUAAUCUAUAGAAGCGUUUUCCGUGCUGAACUGUGUAUAAGUCCCUUGGAACAGGGUAUCAAAGAGGGUGACAAUCCCGUACUUUACACAAUCAUCAGUGCUCUGUGAUACGUUCUCUACGAGUCGAGUUGUUUGGGAAUGCAGCUCAAAAUGGGUGGUAAAUUCCAUCUAAAGCUAAAUAUUGGCGAGAGACCGAUAGCGAACAAGUACCGUGAGGGAAAGAUGAAAAGCACUUUGGAAAGAGAGUUAAACAGUACGUGAAAUUGUUGAAAGGGAAACGAAAUUCAUGAAUCAUGUUUAUUGGACUCAGCCGUUCUUCGGUGUACUUCCUUUAAACGGGUCAACAUCAGUUUUGUCCGAUGGAUAAAGGUAGUAGGAAGGUGGCUCUCUCGGGAGUGUUAUAGCCUAUUGCUGCAUACAUUGGAUGAGACUGAGGACUGCAGCUUGCCUUUAUGGCCGGGGUUCGCCCACGUUCAAGCUUAGGAUGUUGACAUAUUCUCGAAUCAC